GGGCGGGGCGCUGGGGCCGGAAACGAAGGCGGGAUCCAUCCAGAGGUGUCGGUGCCGGAUAGUAACGUGACCCGAGCUGCGUUUGGAGACUUCUGGAGGUGCUGUAUUUAUGGAAUCAUAAAGAUCAUCCCUGCAUCCACCUGAUUGUCUCCAGUAUUGAUUACUGUAAGUCGGGGAGCCUGCGUUUGUGAAUGUUCAGGAUUAGUCCUUUUGUGAAAGCUCGCGCUUCCCCGUUUGCAUUCUGGUGUGCUUUCUGGUGAGAGCUAUAGCCGGUACCUUAAUACGUCUGAGCUCUCCCCUAGGGUGUUUCUUAUGAUAGGCGAACGUCAGCUGUCACCUGCGUGUCCCCACGAGGAACAGGGAAGGCUGGGUACUGCCAGUUUAGGCCAAUUAUCACCAGCACAGUCUGCGGAAUCUAGUUCCAGAAUUCCAAGUACCUCGAAGAUUCUUUAUUCUUUUUGUACAUUGGUCCUUCAGUUGGGAUUUUGCCAUUCCCUAAUCAGAAUCAACAAGUGGAAACUAACUCAAAUCUUGUGAUUUAUCGGCGAGAAGAGCAAAGACCAAAUGUCUGUGGAAUUGAGUAAAAGAUGAGUGAUAAACCUUAUA